AUUGAACGCUGGCGGCAUGCCUUACACAUGCAAGUCGAACGGUAACAGGUCUUCGGAUGCUGACGAGUGGCGAACGGGUGAGUAAUACAUCGGAACGUGCCCGAGAGUGGGGGAUAACGAGGCGAAAGCUUUGCUAAUACCGCAUACGAUCUCAGGAUGAAAGCAGGGGACCGCAAGGCCUUGCGCUCACGGAGCGGCCGAUGGCAGAUUAGGUAGUUGGUGGGAUAAAAGCUUACCAAGCCGACGAUCUGUAGCUGGUCCGAGAGGACGACCACCCAGACUGGGACUGAGACAAGGCCCAGACUCCUACGGGAGGCAGCAGUGGGAAUUUUGGACAAUGGGCGCAAGCCUGAUCCAGCCAUGCCGCGUGCAGGAUGAAGGCCUUCGGGUUGUAAACUGCUUUUGUACGGAACGAAAAGACUCCUUCUAAUAAAUGGGGUCCAUGACGGUACCGUAAGAAUAAGCACCGGCUAACUACGUGCCAGCCGCCGCCGUAACAC
rnacentral:rRNA from 1 species